GAAAAUUUAAUUUUUCAAAAAGAAAUCAUAAAAAAUAGACUAAAUUACAGAAAAACCCCUUAUAAAUAUUUACUUUUUUUCACUUUCCUUUCUACCUUUCAAAAAUCAAUAUUUUAUCCCCUCAAUAUUUCUGAUUAUUACACUUAGCCCCCCCUCCAUUACGGUUUUAUUACUAUUCUGUCUAUUUCUUAAAAUUUAUAUCAAAAAUAUUCUUCAAAAUGAUAGAAAUAUAAUAACUAAUUAUUUUUUUAUAAAAGAAGUAAGAAUAAUAUGGUGAUUUUACCCUUUUUAUUAAUGUUGUACCCUUCUGAAAAUAUUUCUGAAAUUUUAAUGUGUAAAAUAUAGAUUUUUAAAAAUCAGAGAGAAAAAUAGAGAAAAAUAAAAAAAAAUGAAUAUUUA
rnacentral:lncRNA from 1 species